rnacentral:sRNA from 1 species
CUCUGCACUUUGGACUAUUUAAAUAGUUCUUAACCACUGAUCUCCUCCCUCAGGGAAGGGAAUUCUUUCGACAGUUGCUAGUUCCUCACACCUCUGCCUCUAUGGGAUUCUCCUGGUCCCCACAUGCUCUGCUGUGUCUUCUAGCUGUCAGCCACUGUGGAGGAAGUGAACCUUCUAGAUCCUGCUGACUUAUACAAUGAAUUUUGUGUGGACCAUCAGACAAAAGGGCUGGCUGGUGAAGGUGGCUGUUGUCUGGAAAGUCCUCCCAGCUCUCCUCUAAUUAUGUCAUAAGGACUGGAGGCCCCUUAGCCGGCUUGUGAUAACACGCAAGGAAAUAUCGGCCAACUCUUCACACGAGCACAAGAUAUUUCCAUGCUAGCCUUUUGCAACUAACAACAGAGAGAGCUCUGUGCAGUUUUCACUGGCAUUCCUAUGGAUUACUUGUGUCAUAACUGUAAUCUAAAGAGUUGUCCAUUUGUUGAUUCCUUUGUAUUUGUAUGGUAGAAUUGCCACUAUCAAACCAAGAUCUUUAGCCGUUUUUGUAUCAACUUCUCUGGAGCUUAUGUGAUUUUCCAGAAAAUUUCCAAGGCAUAGUUUUGUCCCUAAGUCCCACGAAUAUGUAAUAUUUUGUGUCUCUCUAUUAAAAUAGCACUUUUUGUGCAUUCCAUUAACAAA